AACACAUGCAAGUCGAGCGGAAACGAGUUAUCUGAACCUUCGGGGGACGAUAACGGCGUCGAGCGGCGGACGGGUGAGUAAUGCCUGGGAAAUUGCCCUGAUGUGGGGGAUAACCAUUGGAAACGAUGGCUAAUACCGCAUAAUAGCUUCGGCUCAAAGAGGGGGACCUUCGGGCCUCUCGCGUCAGGAUAUGCCCAGGUGGGAUUAGCUAGUUGGUGAGGUAAGGGCUCACCAAGGCGACGAUCCCUAGCUGGUCUGAGAGGAUGAUCAGCCACACUGGAACUGAGACACGGUCCAGACUUUUACGGGAGGCAGCAGUGGGGAAUAUUGCACAAUGGGCGCAAGCCUGAUGCAGCCAUGCCGCGUGUAUGAAGAAGGCCUUCGGGUUGUAAAGUACUUUCAGCAGUUAGGAAGGUGGAUGCGUUAAUAGCGUAUUCAUUUGACGUUAGCUGCAGAAGAAGCACCGGC
rnacentral:rRNA from 1 species